UGGGGAAUAUUGCACAAUGGACGAAAGUCUGAUGCAGCGACGCCGCGUGAGGGAUGAAGGCCUUCGGGUUGUAAACCUUUUUCGCUUUUGACCAAGGCAGCAUUUUGGUGUUGUUGAGGGUAUGAGGUAAAGAAGCUCCGGCUAACUACGUGCCAGCAGCCGCGGUAAUACGUAGGGAGCGAGCGUUGUCCGGAUUUAUUGGGCGUAAAGGGCUUGUAGGUGGCUUGUCGCGUCUGCCGUGAAAUUCCGCAGCUUAACUGUGGUAGUGCGGUGGGUACGGGCAGGCUUGAGUGUGGUAGGGGAGACUGGAAUUCCUGGUGUAGCGGUGGAAUGCGCAGAUAUCAGGAGGAACACCGGUGGCGAAGGCGGGUCUCUGGGCCAUUACUGACGCUGAGGAGCGAAAGCGUGGGGAGCGAACAGG
rnacentral:rRNA from 2 species